GGUAUGACUGGAGACCUUGUCCAGCAGGGACAUACAGUCCUGAUUCUGGUUUGAGUUUCCGCUCUGAGUGUAGGGAAUGUGAUGGAGGACACUACUGCUCUCUCCAGAACUCCACCUCUGUCACAGGAGAAUGCUCUGAGGGAUAUUACUGCGUGCAUGGGAACAUCUCACCUCAGCCUUACAUGCAGUCUGCAGGAGCUGGAGGACCUUGUCCUGCAGGUCACUUUUGCCCACAAGGCACCACUCAACCUCAGCCUUGUCCAGAGGGCACUUUCAGUAACAAAACCAAACUGGUCAAAGUGGAAGAGUGUUUGUCAUGUUCUGCUGGUCAUUAUUGUGACAUAUCUGGGCUGACUUCACCCAGCGGAGAAUGCUGGGAAGGUUUUUAUUGCAAACAGGGAGCCGUACUCCCCAACAGCCCAAUCAACGAUCACAGAGGAGGACCGUGUCCGACAGGUUAUUUUUGCUCUAGAGGCUCCAGCGCUCCUCAAGCCUGUCCAGAAGGAUCCAUCAGCAGUAGAGAGAGACAGGACAGCUGCAGCCCGUGUCCCCAGGGGUA